GUGGUGAAUUUUGGACAAUGGGCGCAAGCCUGAUCCAGCAAUACCGCGUGCAGGAAGAAGGCCUUCGGGUUGUAAACUGCUUUUGUACGGAACGAAACGGUCCUGGCUAAUAUCCGGGGCUAAUGACGGUACCGUAAGAAUAAGCACCGGCUAACUACGUGCCAGCAGCCGCGGUAAUACGUAGGGUGCGAGCGUUAAUCGGAAUUACUGGUCGUAAAGCGUGCGCAGGCGGUGCUGUAAGACAGGCGUGAAAUCCCCGGGCUCAACCUGGGAAUUGCGCUUGUGACUGCAGUGCUGGAGUGCGGCAGAGGGGGAUGGAAUUCCGCGUGUAGCAGUGAAAUGCGUAGAUAUGCGGAGGAACACCGAUGGCGAAGGCAAUCCCCUGGGCCUGCACUGACGCUCAUGCACGAAAGCGUGGGGAGCAAACAGGAUUAGAAACCCCUGUAGUCC
rnacentral:rRNA from 1 species